rnacentral:rRNA from 1 species
UACGUAGGGUGCAAGCGUUGUCCGGAAUUAUUGGGCGUAAAGAGCGUGUAGGCGGCCCGAUUAGUCCGCUGUGAAAGCCCAGGGCUCAACCCUGGGAUGCCGGUAGAUACUGUCGAGCUAGAGUCCGGAAGAGGCGAGUGGAAUUCCUGGUGUAGCGGUGAAAUGCGCAGAUAUCAGGAGGAACACCAAUGGCGAAGGCAGCUCGCUGGGACGGUACUGACGCUGAGACGCGAAAGCGUGGGGAGCAAACAGG